rnacentral:rRNA from 1 species
UACAGAGGUCUCAAGCGUUGUUCGGAUUCAUUGGGCUUAAAGGGCGCGUAGGCGGGUUCUCAAGUCCGGGGUGAAAUCCCACAGCUCAACUGUGGAACUGCCUCGGAUACUGGGUGCCUCGAGGGUGGUAGGGGUAUGCGGAACUAUCGGUGGAGCGGUGAAAUGCGUUGAUAUCGAUAGGAACUCCGGUGGCGAAGGCGGCAUACUGGACCACAUCUGAUGCUGAGGCGCGAAAGCCAGGGGAGCAAACGGG